rnacentral:rRNA from 1 species
GACGAACGCUGGCGGCGUGCUUAACACAUGCAAGUCGAACGGAAAGGCCCUGCUUUUGUGGGGUGCUCGAGUGGCGAACGGGUGAGUAACACGUGAGUAACCUGCCCUUGACUUUGGGAUAACUUCAGGAAACUGGGGCUAAUACCGGAAAGGGCUCCCGGCUCCAGGGUGGGGGUGGGAAAGUUUCGGCGGUUGGGGUUGGACUCGCGGCUUAUCAGCUUGUUGGUGGGGUAGUGGCUUACCAAGGCUUUGACGGGUAGCCGGCCUGAGAGGGUGACCGGCCACAUUGGGACUGAGAUACGGCCCAGACUCCUACGGGAGGCAGCAGUGGGGAAUAUUGCACAAUGGGCGGAAGCCUGAUGCAGCAACGCCGCGUGCGGGAUGACGGCCUUCGGGUUGUAAACCGCUUUCGCCUGUGACGAAGCGUGAGUGACGGUAAUGGGUAAAGAAGCACCGGCUAACUACGUG